GCCAGGCGCGGUGGCGGGUGCCUGUAAUCCCAGCUACUCGGGAGGCUGAGGCAGGAGAAUUGCUUGAACCCGAGAGACAGAGGUUGCAGUGAGCCGAGAUCAUGCCACCGCACUCCAGCCUGGGUAACAGCAAGACUCCAUCUCGGGGGAUGGUGGGGAAAGGUUAACUAGAUUUUACUAAACUUUGCUUUGUUUUGAGACAGGGUCUUGCUCUGUUGCCCAGGCUGAAGUGCAGUGGUGCAAUCUAGGCUCACUGCAGCCUCAAUCUCCCAGGCUCAGGUGAUCCUCCUGC
rnacentral:lncRNA from 10 species